CCUCUCUUUGGAGAGUGCACUACAAAAUUGGAUCAAUACAGAGAAGAUUAGCAUGGUCCCUGCAUAAGGAUGACACAAAUGUCUAGAUGGAGGGCCAAGCGACUU
rnacentral:snRNA from 1 species